rnacentral:misc_RNA from 1 species
UACGGAGGGGGCUAGCGCUGUUCGGAAUUACUGGGCGUAAAGCGCGCGUAGGCGGACUGGAAAGUUGGGGGUGAAAUCCCGGGGCUCAACCUCGGAACUGCCUCCAAAACUAUCAGUCUGGAGUUCGAGAGAGGUGAGUGGAAUUCCGAGUGUAGAGGUGAAAUGCGUAGAGAUGUGGAGGAACACCAGUGGCGAAGGCGGCUCACUGGCUCGAUACUGACGCUGAGGUGCGAAAGCGUGGGUAGCAAACAGG